rnacentral:rRNA from 1 species
AGUUUGAUCCUGGCUCAGGACGAACGCUGGCGGCGUGCUUAACACAUGCAAGUCGAACGAUGAAGCCCUUCGGGGUGGAUUAGUGGCGAACGGGUGAGUAACACGUGGGCAAUCUGCCCUUCACUCUGGGACAAGCCCUGGAAACGGGGUCUAAUACCGGAUAACACCUUCCCUCGCAUGGGGGAAGGUUGAAAGCUCCGGCGGUGAAGGAUGAGCCCGCGGCCUAUCAGCUUGUUGGUGAGGUAGAAGCUCACCAAGGCGACGACGGGUAGCCGGCCUGAGAGGGCGACCGGCCACACUGGGACUGAGACACGGCCCAGACUCCUACGGGAGGCAGCAGUGGGGAAUAUUGCACAAUGGGCGAAAGCCUGAUGCAGCGACGCCGCGUGAGGGAUGACGGCCUUCGGGUUGUAAACCUCUUUCAGCAGGGAAGAAGCGAAAGUGACGGUACCUGCAGAAGAAGCGCCGGCUAACUACGUGCCAGCAGCCGCGGUAAUACGUAGGGCGCAAGCGUUGUCCGGAAUUAUUGGGCGUAAAGAGCUCGUAGGCGGCUUGUCACGUCGAUUGUGAAAGCUCGGGGCUUAACCCCGAGUCUGCAGUCGAUACGGGCUAGCUAGAGUGUGGUAGGGGAGAUCGGAAUUCCUGGUGUAGCGGUGAAAUGCGCAGAUAUCAGGAGGAACACCGGUGGCGAAGGCGGAUCUCUGGGCCAUUACUGACGCUGAGGAGCGAAAGCGUGGGGAGCGAACAGGAUUAGAUACCCUGGUAGUCCACGCCGUAAACGGUGGGAACUAGGUGUUGGCGACAUUCCACGUCGUCGGUGCCGCAGCUAACGCAUAAGUGCCC